rnacentral:misc_RNA from 1 species
GAUGAAAACGCAGCGAAAUGCGAUAAGUAGUGUGAAUUGCAGAAUUCAGUGAAUCAUCGAAUCUUUGAACGCACAUUGCGCCCUUUGGUAUUCCUUAGGGCAUGCCUGUUCGAGCGUCAUUUAAACCUUCAAGCUCAGCUUGGUGUUGGGUGACUGUCCGCUUCACCGCGGACUCGCCUCAAAAUUAUUGGCGGCCGGUACAUUGGCUUCGAGCGCAGCAGAAACGCGAACUCGGGCCCGUCGUAUUGGCUCCCAGAAGCUAUCUUCACAAUUUUGACCUCGGAUCAGGUAGGGAUACCCGCUGAACUUAAGCAUAUCAAUAAGCGGAGGA